rnacentral:rRNA from 1 species
UACAGAGGUCCCAAGCGUUGUUCGGAUUCACUGGGCGUAAAGGGUGCGCAGGUGGUCGGGUAAGUCUGACGUGAAAUCCCGCAGCUUAACUGCGGAAUGGCAUUGGAUACUAUUCGGCUAGAGGGUUGGAGGGGGGACUGGAAUUCUCGGUGUAGCAGUGAAAUGCGUAGAUAUCAAGCGGAACACCAGUGGCGAAGGCGAGUCCCUGGACAACUCCUGACACUGAUGCACGAAAGCUAGGGGAGCAAACAGG